CUAUAAAUAGCUCAGCCACUGCUCACUCUGACCCAGCGCAGGGCAAGUCCUGGGACGGCAGGGGGGGCCCACCUGGGGCGACAAGGCAGGAGCCGGUCCUCAGGCCCCUUCGGUCUCUUUGGGGAAGUUUGCUACAGCCACACCUGGGUAACUCAGCCAGCAUUGCCUGCUUAGGUUGACCGAAGAGUUCCGGGACCCCUGAGUGAGUUACUGGGAGUGUCCUGACCCAGUGUUGAGAUCUGGGUUCUCCGGUGGCAGCAGUGAAAGCUCCCACGUGAAAGGCCUGGGGAAGACCCUUGCUACUCAGCUUGCGGUCCAUGAACCACCACUAGCGGCAGCAUCUCCCGGGAGCUUGCGAGAAACGCACGACCAAGCAGAGACCCACUGACUAGGACUCUUCCUUUUAACCGGUCCCGGGAGAUUCCUGUCCACACGCCAGUUUGAGAAGCGCUGGCAGAACUUUCAAACGUAGAGCGAACCCCUGUACUUUUCUUUGGGCUCGUCCGCCUGGCUCCCCCACUCCGAUCCUUCGCUACGAGACCGGCCUCCUGGACCCCGUCUUCGCUCUAUUACCUCCAGG